GCAAGUCGAACGGAAACAGCAAGAGCUUGCUCUUGGCUGUCGAGUGGCGGACGGGUGAGUAACGCGUGGGAAUCUACCCAGUUGUGGAGGAUAGCCAGGCGCAAUCCUGCUUAAUACUGCAUACGAUCUACGGAUGAAAGGUGGCCUAUACUUGGAAGCUAUCGCUAUUGGAUGAGCCCGCGUUAGAUUAGCUAGUUGGUGGGGUAAUGGCCUACCAAGGCGACGAUCUAUAGCUGGUCUGAGAGGAUGAUC
rnacentral:rRNA from 1 species